CGCUGCUCGGCGAAGCGCAAUAGUAAUGAACAGCAUAAAAAAGACAUAUCUGCAUCCCGUCAUGAUGAUAAAGUAACCAACCUGUCCAGGAACAGAGAGGACUUACCCUGGUAGCAGACGCAGAGGAACAGAACAGAGAAGAGGAUCUUGGCACUGUCCAUGGUAGACACCAUGAUGGGUCACUGAUAACCUGAGCUUUACGGAGGUGUCUGGACUAACACUGAGUGAAGAUCUCUUCCAGAGAACAGAAGAAAUUGGGGGAGGGACCUUGGACCUUGUCUUCCAAUCAGAGCGCGGUAGAGCUAGUCUGAAUGAUCGGCUAUGAAAAGCCAACUGACAUUUACUCCUGAGGUGCUGACCUGUUGCACCCUCAACAACCACUGUGAUUAUUAUUAUUUGACCCUGCUGGUCAUCUAUGAACAUUUGAACAUCUUGGCCAUGUUCUGUUAUAAUCUCCACCCAGCACAGCCAGAAGAGGACUGGCCACCCCUCAUAGCCUGGUUCCUCUCUAGGUUUCAUCCUAGGUUCUGGCCUUUCUA
rnacentral:lncRNA from 1 species